GCAGCAUCCUGGAGGACCAAACUCCCGCCAACUCCACCAGCCUCACAACAGACGUGUGCAGUAGAUGGCCCAAUUUGGUGCACCCCGCCUCCCUCAGGCUGGACCACAGAGUAACAGAUGACAACCCAGGAGAGCUAACAAAGUCAUUGAAGAAAAGAGGCUCCUCAAAGAGCCACAUCCCAGGUGUGCCCAUAUUGUCCCUGCACACAGCGAGGACCUGCCAUGCCUGGAGAACUGACUGGUAAAAAGCCGAGGUACGAGAUCUGAAGAG